GGGUUGUGAGGUUAAGCGACUAAGCGUACACGGUGGAUGCCCUGGCAGUCAGAGGCGAUGAAGGACGUGCUAAUCUGCGAUAAGCGUCGGUAAGGUGAUAUGAACCGUUAUAACCGGCGAUUUCCGAAUGGGGAAACCCAGUGUGUUUCGACACACUAUCAUUAACUGAAUCCAUAGGUUAAUGAGGCGAACCGGGGGAACUGAAACAUCUAAGUACCCCGAGGAAAAGAAAUCAACCGAGAUUCCCCCAGUAGCGGCGAGCGAACGGGGAGGAGCCCAGAGCCUGAAUCAGUGUGUGUGUUAGUGGAAGCGUCUGGAAAGGCGCGCGAUACAGGGUGACAGCCCCGUACACAAAAAUGCACAUAUUGUGAGCUCGAUGAGUAGGGCGGGACACGUGGUAUCCUGUCUGAAUAUGGGGGGACCAUCCUCCAAGGCUAAAUACUCCUGACUGACCGAUAGUGAACCAGUACCGUGAGGGAAAGGCGAAAAGAACCCCGGCGAGGGGAGUGAAAAAGAACCUGAAACCGUGUACGUACAAGCAGUGGGAGCACGCUUCGGCGUGUGACUGCGUACCUUUUGUAUAAUGGGUCAGCGACUUAUAUUCUGUAGCAAGGUUAACCGAAUAGGGGAGCCGAAGGGAAACCGAGUCUUAACUGGGCGUUAAGUUGCAGGGUAUAGACCCGAAACCCGGUGAUCUAGCCAUGGGCAGGUUGAAGGUUGGGUAACACUAACUGGAGGACCGAACCGACUAAUGUUGAAAAAUUAGCGGAUGACUUGUGGCUGGGGGUGAAAGGCCAAUCAAACCGGGAGAUAGCUGGUUCUCCCCGAAAGCUAUUUAGGUAGCGCCUCGUGAAUUCAUCUCCGGGGGUAGAGCACUGUUUCGGCAAGGGGGUCAUCCCGACUUACCAACCCGAUGCAAACUGCGAAUACCGGAGAAUGUUAUCACGGGAGACACACGGCGGGUGCUAACGUCCGUCGUGAAGAGGGAAACAACCCAGACCGCCAGCUAAGGUCCCAAAGUCAUGGUUAAGUGGGAAACGAUGUGGGAAGGCCCAGACAGCCAGGAUGUUGGCUUAGAAGCAGCCAUCAUUUAAAGAAAGCGUAAUAGCUCACUGGUCGAGUCGGCCUGCGCGGAAGAUGUAACGGGGCUAAACCAUGCACCGAAGCUGCGGCAGCGACGCUUAUGCGUUGUUGGGUAGGGGAGCGUUCUGUAAGCCUGUGAAGGUGUGCUGUGAGGCAUGCUGGAGGUAUCAGAAGUGCGAAUGCUGACAUAAGUAACGAUAAAGCGGGUGAAAAGCCCGCUCGCCGGAAGACCAAGGGUUCCUGUCCAACGUUAAUCGGGGCAGGGUGAGUCGACCCCUAAGGCGAGGCCGAAAGGCGUAGUCGAUGGGAAACAGGUUAAUAUUCCUGUACUUGGUGUUACUGCGAAGGGGGGACGGAGAAGGCUAUGUUGGCCGGGCGACGGUUGUCCCGGUUUAAGCGUGUAGGCUGGUUUUCCAGGCAAAUCCGGAAAAUCAAGGCUGAGGCGUGAUGACGAGGCACUACGGUGCUGAAGCAACAAAUGCCCUGCUUCCAGGAAAAGCCUCUAAGCAUCAGGUAACAUCAAAUCGUACCCCAAACCGACACAGGUGGUCAGGUAGAGAAUACCAAGGCGCUUGAGAGAACUCGGGUGAAGGAACUAGGCAAAAUGGUGCCGUAACUUCGGGAGAAGGCACGCUGAUAUGUAGGUGAGGUCCCUCGCGGAUGGAGCUGAAAUCAGUCGAAGAUACCAGCUGGCUGCAACUGUUUAUUAAAAACACAGCACUGUGCAAACACGAAAGUGGACGUAUACGGUGUGACGCCUGCCCGGUGCCGGAAGGUUAAUUGAUGGGGUCAGCGCAAGCGAAGCUCUUGAUCGAAGCCCCGGUAAACGGCGGCCGUAACUAUAACGGUCCUAAGGUAGCGAAAUUCCUUGUCGGGUAAGUUCCGACCUGCACGAAUGGCGUAAUGAUGGCCAGGCUGUCUCCACCCGAGACUCAGUGAAAUUGAACUCGCUGUGAAGAUGCAGUGUACCCGCGGCAAGACGGAAAGACCCCGUGAACCUUUACUAUAGCUUGACACUGAACAUUGAGCCUUGAUGUGUAGGAUAGGUGGGAGGCUUAGAAGUGUGGACGCCAGUCUGCAUGGAGCCGACCUUGAAAUACCACCCUUUAAUGUUUGAUGUUCUAACGUUGACCCGUAAUCCGGGUUGCGGACAGUGUCUGGUGGGUAGUUUGACUGGGGCGGUCUCCUCCUAAAGAGUAACGGAGGAGCACGAAGGUUGGCUAAUCCUGGUCGGACAUCAGGAGGUUAGUGCAAUGGCAUAAGCCAGCUUGACUGCGAGCGUGACGGCGCGAGCAGGUGCGAAAGCAGGUCAUAGUGAUCCGGUGGUUCUGAAUGGAAGGGCCAUCGCUCAACGGAUAAAAGGUACUCCGGGGAUAACAGGCUGAUACCGCCCAAGAGUUCAUAUCGACGGCGGUGUUUGGCACCUCGAUGUCGGCUCAUCACAUCCUGGGGCUGAAGUAGGUCCCAAGGGUAUGGCUGUUCGCCAUUUAAAGUGGUACGCGAGCUGGGUUUAGAACGUCGUGAGACAGUUCGGUCCCUAUCUGCCGUGGGCGCUGGAGAAUUGAGGGGGGCUGCUCCUAGUACGAGAGGACCGGAGUGGACGCAUCACUGGUGUUCGGGUUGUCAUGCCAAUGGCACUGCCCGGUAGCUAAAUGCGGAAGAGAUAAGUGCUGAAAGCAUCUAAGCACGAAACUUGCCCCGAGAUGAGUUCUCCCUGACUCCUUGAGAGUCCUGAAGGAACGUUGAAGACGACGACGUUGAUAGGCCGGGUGUGUAAGCGCAGCGAUGCGUUGAGCUAACCGGUACUAAUGAACCGUGAGGCUUAACCUUACAACGCCGAAGCUGUU
rnacentral:rRNA from 1 species